CACGGAGAGCAUUAAGGUGUCUUAACUGCCACAAAGAAGAAGCGGUACAACUUGGGAAUGCCCUGCGAGCCGAGUCCGGUGGGAUCUCCGGCCCUCACUGCCCUUGUCCUCCUUUAAAAAAUAAAGACAGGAAGCCUUUAUUUUUGGUUUUGCUGUGCACUGAUCCAAGAGGACAAGGGUGAGUCUUCAUUCUGGUGAAACAUCCAGGGUUUAAUUUUUCUUGGAAAGAAAGGAGCUCAGCAUCCCAUACAGAAAAUUCUUCAGGUAGAAGGAUGUCAGAAAGAUGGAUUUCCAAAGCCAACCGUCUCCUGAACCAUGUGGAGCUCUGCAAGCAGAUUCUCAUCUUUCAAUUUUAACUGCAUAACAGGUAGAAGGGAAGAACACAUACGUCACGCCUGACAUAGCUAUGUGGAGGCUCCUUAUUUGUGGGGCCACAGCUAAAGAAUAUAGUUCCUCAGGUUGGAAUUGACUCUUCCUAUAUUCUCUGUUUCAUGGUAACUCCAUUA